UCCUCCUUUCUGAAGAACUGUAAUGCCAUUAAUUUGGUGUUGCAGGGAAACAGGACUGUUACUUUGAAAAAAUUAGAGUGUUUAAAGCAGGCUAAGGCUUGAAUACAUUAGCAUGGAAUAAUGAAAUAGGACGUUCGAUCCUAUUUUGUUGGUUUCUAGGAUUGACGUAAUGAUUAAUAGGGAUAGUUGGGGGCAUUAGUAUUCAAUUGUCAGAGGUGAAAUUCUUGGAUUUAUUGAAGACUAACUACUGCGAAAGCAUUUGCCAAGGAUGUUUUCAUUAAUCAAGAACGAAAGUUAGGGGAUCGAAGACGAUCAGAUACCGUCGUAGUCUUAACCAUAAACUAUGCCGACUAGGGAUCGGAUGAUGUUAAUUUUUUAAUGACUCAUUCGGCGCCUUACG
rnacentral:rRNA from 1 species